GUCUGCGAUCGGCCGGUUAAGGUCAGUUACACUUAGAUCGCGAAACCGUGGAAGUCACCGACGUAAUUUUUGUCACUAUAAAACUGUUGUUCAAUGUGUACGUCUUUUCGAAAAACUGUUCUGUACAUAUAUAUCAAGGUAGUCCGAAAAAGGCUUUUCUAGAAAAGUGAAUCACCAUCGAAAGAUCAUCGGAAAAAAAUCACUCUAGUAAACAAAUCCAUGAAAAUUCCCAAUUCAACUACUAUACUAUAAAUAAUAAUAAUGUUUAAAAAAAUGUCC